GGUGUCUGGAAUGGAGGCUGAUCCAAGAUCAUUGCUUGGUGCAAAAUACUAGGGCAUUGUUGUAAGUGCCAUUAGUUCUUUUUUGUUUCCGAGUUUGUUAUCGAGGAUCUCGGACCAGGCUUCAUUCCUCACACC
rnacentral:pre_miRNA from 10 species